CCCUUCGUAGUUCAAUGGAUAGAACAUGAGUUUGCGGAACUUAAAAUGCAAGUUCGAUUCUUGCCGUGGGGACAA
rnacentral:tRNA from 2 species